GACGAACGCUGGCGGCGUGCUUAACACAUGCAAGUCGAACGAUGAAGCUAGAGCUUGCUCUGGUGAAUUAGUGGCGAACGGGUGAGUAACACGUGAGUAACCUGCCCCGAACUCUGGGAUAACUGCUGGAAACGGUAGCUAAUACCGGAUAUGACCAAUGAAGGCAUCUUCUGUUGGUGGAAAGAAUUUCGGUUCGGGAUGGACUCGCGGCCUAUCAGCUUGUUGGUGAGGUAACGGCUCACCAAGGCGACGACGGGUAGCCGGCCUGAGAGGGUGAUCGGCCACACUGGGACUGAGACACGGCCCAGACUCCUACGGGAGGCAGCAGUGGGGAAUAUUGCACAAUGGGCGCAAGCCUGAUGCAGCAACGCCGCGUGAGGGACGACGGCCUUCGGGUUGUAAACCUCUUUUAGUAGGGAAGAAGCGAAAGUGACGGUACCUGCAGAAAAAGCACCGGCUAACUACGUGCCAGCAGCCGCCGCCG
rnacentral:rRNA from 1 species